CAUGUCUUUUUGAUUAUAAUUUAAAGUYUAAUYUGCUCCAUGAAUUUUAAAUAGCUGCAGUAUUUUAACUGUACAAAGGUAGCAUAAUCAAUAGUUUUUUAAUUAAAAGCUGGAAUGAAUGAUUUGAUAAGGUAGAUAUUGUCUCAAUUUUAUAGUUAUUAAAAUUUUUUUUUUAGUAAAAAUACUAAAAUAUUUUUAAAAGACGAGAAGACCCUAUAGAUUUUUAUAUUUCUAAAAUUAAUGGAUUUUAAUUUAUAUAGUUUUUAAAUUUAGGGGUAUUUAAUUGGGGAAAUUAUUAAAUUAAAAGAAUUUUAAUUUUUAAGAAACAAUGAUAUUUGAGUUCAAGAUCUUUUAUUUAAGAUGAUAAGAAUAAAAUACCUUAGGGAUAACAGCGUAAUUUUUUUAGAGAGAUCGUAUCGAUAAAAAAGUUUGCGACCUCGAUGUUGAAUUAAGAUAAAAUUUUAAAGCAGUAUUUAAAAAUUUUUGGUCUGUUCGACCAUUAAAAUCUUACGUG
rnacentral:rRNA from 1 species